AUUGGUUGGAAGGCCCUUCGCUCUAGCCGGGAGGCUGACCGCCCGCGGGCGUAAGCGCACUGCAGCCGAAAGCUCCUGGAGGCGGCGGGAUGGAGGGGGCGGCCGAGCCCGGAAACCUGGCCGGCGUCAGGCACAUCAUCCUGGUCCUCUCAGGAAAGGGGGGCGUUGGGAAAAGCACCGUCUCCACGGAGCUGGCCCUGGCACUGCGCCAUGCGGGCAAGAAGGUGAGCGCCCUGCCCCUCACUGGGCGGAGCCCCGGGCAGCUGCCCACAUCCCGGCGGAGGCCUGGCGGUGCCCUUGGCCUAGGCUGUGCCGCUCUUUGCAGGUGGGAAUCCUGGAUGUGGACCUGUGUGGCCCCAGCAUCCCCCGCAUGCUCGGGGCGCAGGGCAGGGCCGUGCACCAGUGCGACCGCGGCUGGGCACCCGUCUUCCUGGACCGGGAGCAGAGCAUCUCGCUCAUGUCUGUGGGCUUCCUGCUGGAGAAGCCGGACGAGGCCGUGGUGUGGAGAGGCCCCAAGAAAAACGGUAACGGCUGGGCGGCAUGUCCGCUGUCCUGGUGAAUGGGGUUAGCAUCGGUGCCAGCCUUUCCUGUGGAAAUGCUUCCUUUCAGCAGCCAGGCCUGUUCCUGGGGACCUGCACAUGACACCCACGACCAGGCACAGGGCUCUGGCUGGCGGUGUGUCUCGAGUUGGGUCCGCGCUGCCACACAGCUGUCCCCAACUCCCGGUCGGAGGGAGUGGGGUCUGCUGAGAUCCUGUCCACGGCAUGCAGGGACCUGAGGCCCCAGUGUGGCAGGUCGUAGGGGCAGAGCUGAGGGGGUUCUGAUGCCUCUGGAGCAGGUGGCAUUAGACGCCCCCAAACGCAGGGAGAGGCUGGUGGGAGUGAGGCGCAGGCUCUGGGUGCACCAGUGGGGAAUCCACCACGGAGAGUGUGGGUGCUCCCAUGUGUGGGUACAGACCCCUGGAGGGUCCUGGCUCUGUGUUCUCAUGUGGGGCCUCAGGGAGUCAGCGGGGGCUCUGUGGGCAGGGGCUGGACGCUGCAGAAAGGGAUGCCUUAGAUGGUCCUGGCCCCAUCUUUGCACUCCUGCAGCGGCCCAGGGCCUCCCGAGAGCCUGUGAUGGAGGCUGGCGGCAAGUGACACCUGACGGACUGCAGCCCCUCGGCCUGACCUGGCUGGUUCUUAGUGGCGCAGGGCCACGUGUGCAGACCUACGCUGCCCUGACCGCCCCGUCUGCCCCGUCUUUGCAGCGCUGAUAAAGCAGUUUGUGUCCGACGUGGCCUGGGGGGAGCUGGACUACCUGGUGGUGGACACGCCCCCGGGGACCUCCGAUGAGCACAUGGCCGCCAUAGAAGCCCUGCGUCCCUACCAGCCCCUGGGGGCCCUUGUGGUCACCACGCCCCAGGUACCGCCCCCGGGGGCCCUCGUGGUCACCACGCCCCAGGCGGUGUCCGUGGGGGAUGUGAGGCGCGAGCUGACCUUCUGCAGGAAGACCGGCUUGCGGGUGAUGGGAGUCGUGGAGAACAUGAGCGGCUUCACCUGCCCACACUGCGCAGAGUGCACCAGCGUCUUCUCCAGGGGCGGUGGAGAGGAGCUGGCCCAGCUCGCCGGGGUGCCCUUCUUAGGCUCCGUGCCCCUGGACCCUGCGCUCAUGAGGAGCCUGGAGGAGGGCCACGACUUCAUCCAGGAGUUCCCCGGGAGCCCCGCCUUCGCUGCACUCACCUCCAUAGCCCAGAAGAUUCUGGACGCGACGCCCGCCUGCCUCCCCUAAGGCCACCUUGCAGCCGCUUUCCAGGGCCACCGAGGGCUCUGCUCCAGCCUCUCAGAGAAACAGAGAGGCCUAGGUUCGGUUCCCGGGCCCUGCAGGAGCAGGCCCAGGCAGCAUCAGCGGGAGAGCGUCUCCCCGACCAGCCCAGCCCUAGGAUGUGUCGCACCAGCAGCUCUGCCUGGUUGGCCUGUGGCUGAGAGGACAGCUCGGGCCCUAGUGCCGUGGCCUGCGUGCUCUGCAGCUGUGAGACGGGGCGGCCUGGGCUCUCUUCCCAUCAUGUUUCCCACCUGUGCCCCUGGUAGCCGCGUGUCCACACAGCAGAGCGCAGGACUUCUGCAGUCCUCAGGUGACCCCGGGCCUCCAGCACCCUGGGGUCGCUGUCAUCUGUGUUAAGCUCGGGGAGUGCCCCCUAAGGGGGCGAACUGAUCCCAGGCAUGUCUUGUAACUGUAGAGGACCCUACCAUUAAACGCGUCCGCUGCUGUGGUGAC
rnacentral:sRNA from 1 species